rnacentral:rRNA from 1 species
CGACCCCAGGUCAGGCGGGGUUACCCGCUGAAUUUAAGCAUAUCAAUAAGCGGAGGAAAAGAAAUUUACAAGGAUUCCCCUAGUAACGGCGAGCGAACCGGGAAUAGCCCAUUUUGAAAAUCGGGCGCCNAUGGCNUCANAUUUUACUUGNAAAAAAACGGGGA